ACAAUGAAGAGUUUGAUCCUGGCUCAGGAUGAACGCUAGCUACAGGCUUAACACAUGCAAGUCGAGGGGCAGCAUUUUAGUUUGCUUGCAAACUGAAGAUGGCGACCGGCGCACGGGUGAGUAACACGUAUCCAACCUGCCGAUAACUCCGGAAUAGCCUUUCGAAAGAAAGAUUAAUACCGGAUAGCAUACGAAUAUCGCAUGAUAUUUUUAUUAAAGAAUUUCGGUUAUCGAUGGGGAUGCGUUCCAUUAGUUUGUUGGCGGGGUAACGGCCCACCAAGACUACGAUGGAUAGGGGUUCUGAGGAGGAAGGUCCCCCACAUUGGAACUGAGACACGGUCCAAACUCCUACGGGAGGCAGCAGUGAGGAAUAUUGGUCAAUGGGCGAGAGCCUGAACCAGCCAAGUAGCGUGAAGGAUGAAGGCUCUAUGGGUCGUAAACUUCUUUUAUAUGGGAAUAAAGUUUUCCACGUGUGGAAUUUUGUAUGUACCAUAUGAAUAAGGAUCGGCUAACUCCGUGCCAGCAGCCGCGGUAAUACGGAGGAUCCGAGCGUUAUCCGGAUUUAUUGGGUUUAAAGGGAGCGUAGGUGGAUUGUUAAGUCAGUUGUGAAAGUUUGCGGCUCAACCGUAAAAUUGCAGUUGAAACUGGCAGUCUUGAGUACAGUAGAGGUGGGCGGAAUUCGUGGUGUAGCGGUGAAAUGCUUAGAUAUCACGAAGAACUCCGAUUGCGAAGGCAGCUCACUAGACUGUCACUGACACUGAUGCUCGAAAGUGUGGGUAUCAAACAGGAUUAGAUACCCUGGUAGUCCACACAGUAAACGAUGAAUACUCGCUGUUUGCGAUAUACAGUAAGCGGCCAAGCGAAAGCAUUAAGUAUUCCACCUGGGGAGUACGCCGGCAACGGUGAAACUCAAAGGAAUUGACGGGGGCCCGCACAAGCGGAGGAACAUGUGGUUUAAUUCGAUGAUACGCGAGGAACCUUACCCGGGCUUAAAUUGCAACAGAAUAUAUUGGAAACAGUAUAGCCGUAAGGCUGUUGUGAAGGUGCUGCAUGGUUGUCGUCAGCUCGUGCCGUGAGGUGUCGGCUUAAGUGCCAUAACGAGCGCAACCCUUAUCUUUAGUUACUAACAGGUUAUGCUGAGGACUCUAGAGAGACUGCCGUCGUAAGAUGUGAGGAAGGUGGGGAUGACGUCAAAUCAGCACGGCCCUUACGUCCGGGGCUACACACGUGUUACAAUGGGGGGUACAGAAGGCGGCUACCUGGUGACAGGAUGCUAAUCCCAAAAACCUCUCUCAGUUCGGAUCGAAGUCUGCAACCCGACUUCGUGAAGCUGGAUUCGCUAGUAAUCGCGCAUCAGCCAUGGCGCGGUGAAUACGUUCCCGGGCCUUGUACACACCGCCCGUCAAGCCAUGAAAGCCGGGGGUACCUGAAGUACGUAACCGCAAGGAGCGUCCUAGGGUAAAACUGGUAAUUGGGGCUAAGUCGUAACAAGGUAGCCGUACCGGAAGGUGCGGCUGGAACACCUCCUUU
rnacentral:rRNA from 1 species